ensembl:lncRNA
CUUGUUCUUGCACCUUCCAGUCCUUCUAAAGUAAGAUGCUGUGAGCAGCUGACUCGCGACAUGGGGAGGAGCACACUGUUGUAAAUAACCAUCGUGGGAGAACAGGAGGCCUAUUCUGGACCCCACACCCUGACAGGUCCUUCUCUCCCCAGGCUCUCGUUUAAUCUGGAGGAACAUACACAGGCUGGUUGGAUGCAAGUCUGCGUGUCGGGAUUCAGAGAACAGACUCAGGCAGUUGUUGAUUACAUCAAACGCGUCACUGGGCCUGCGGAGGAGGGGAGAGAUUCCUGAACCAACCAUGGGAAUCUGAAACGAAAUCUCCUCUGGACUUUGGGGUUAAAGACUUUCCAUCUGGGAGCCUGCAAGCAGCUCCAAAGUCAACUUCAGUCCAUCUCACUCUCCUACAGAAACUUUACAGCUGACACUGUGUUUAGGGCCGGAAAACGAUCUGUCUGUCCUAGGAUGCUGCUCUGCUUGGAGGCCAGGCGACUCUGAACUUUCAACUUCUAUUGCAGUAACUGCUUCACGUUAAGCUCUGAUCAGUUUGUCUACACCAUUUCUCUCUGAGAAUCUCUGCAGAUUCUGAUCUUUCUGUUUUACUUUAAAUACCUUUAAAGACUAUUUCUAAAUGUCAGUUAAUUCAACUUAUUUUUGAGUGUGUGAAACAAGAGUACUGUAAACAGUGAAUAAAUGGGAGAUAGAUGAUGAAAAAUAAAUGAGU